GCAUGCAAGUCGCGGGAAUCCCACCAAUGGGGGAACCGGCGUAAGGGGCAGUAAGGCGUGGGUACCUACCCCGGGGUCCGGGAUAGCCGUCCGAGAGGGCGGGUAAUACCGGAUGACCUCGGGAGAGCAAAGCUCCGGCGCCCUGGGAGGGGCCCACGUGAUAUUAGCUGGUUGGUGAGGUAACGGCUCACCUAGGCGGAGAUGUCUAGCGGGUGUGAGAGCACGACCCGCGCCACUCGCACUGAGACACUGGCGAGACACCUACGGGUGGCUGCAGUCGAGGAUCUUCGGCAAUGCGCGCAAGCGCGACCGAGCGACGCCGCGUGGGCGAUGAAGGCCUUCGGGUUGUAAAGCCCUGUCGAGGGGGAGAAAAGGGUAAAACUUUGAUCUAUCCCUGGAGGAAGCUCGGGCUAAGUUCGUGCCAGCAGCCGCGGUAAGACGAACCGAGCGAACGUUGUUCGGAAUCACUGGGCUUAAAGGGCGCGUAGGCGGGCUGCCAAGUUUGGGGUGAAAUCCUCCGGCUCAACCGGGGAAGUGCCU
rnacentral:rRNA from 1 species